rnacentral:tRNA from 1 species
GCACCAUUAGCUCAGCUGGUAGAGCAAAUGACUCUUAAUCAUUGGGUCAGGGGUUCGAGUCCCUUAUGGUGCACCA